rnacentral:rRNA from 1 species
UACGUUAAUAGCGUAUUCGUUUGACGUUAGCGACAGAAGAAAGCACCGGCUAACUCCGUGCCAGCAGCCGCGGUAAUACGGAGGGUGCGAGCGUUAAUCGGAAUUACUGGGCGUAAAGACGCAUGCAGGUGGUUUGUUAAGUCAGAUGUGAAAGACCCGGGGCGUCAACCUCGGAAUAGCAUUUGUAAACUAGGCAGACUAGAGUACUGUAGAGGGGGGUAGGAAUUUCAGGUGUAGCGGUGAAAAUGCGUAGAGAUCUGAAGGAAUACCGGUGGCGAAGGCGGCCCCCUCGGACAGAUACUGACACUCAGAUGCGAAAGCGUGGGGAGCAAACAGGAUUAGAUACCCUGGUAG